GAUGAACGCUGGCGGCGUGCUUAAUACAUGCAAGUCGAACGGAAAGGCCCUGCGCUUGCGGCUUGCUCGUGUGGCGCGCGGGGGAGUAAAACGCGUGUAACCCCCACCUGUCUGUGUGAUAUCUCCUGGAAACAGCGGCGCUAAUCGCGGAUAAGAUACUGCUGCACGGGGUGGGAUGGAAAGUUUCGGCGGUUGGGGAUGGACUCGCGGCUUAUCAGCUUGUUGGUGGGGUAGGGGAUUACCAAGGUUUUGACGGGUAGCCGGCCUGAGAGGGUGACCGGCCACAUUGGGACUGAGAUACGGCCCAGACUCCUACGGGAGGCAGCAGUGGGGAAUAUUGCACAAUGGGCGGAAGCCUGAUGCAGCAACGCCGCGUGCGGGAUGACGGCCUUCGGGUUGUAAACCGCUUUCGCCUGUGACGAAGCGUGAGUGACGGUAAUGGGUAAAGAAGCACCGGCUAACUACGUG
rnacentral:rRNA from 1 species